GGCUAUUGGGGUUGCCUUGGUCCAUCCACAUCAACAGCAAAUUAUGCAAUGCAACAUCUUCGUGAAAUCUAAUGCAACAGCCUAAUACAUAUACAUUGUAUUCAUGAUGCAUGAAACAUGCUUAAAACAUUUGAGUUAGUUCUACUCACCUCUGGCAGACGCUGGACUGACUCUGCAACAGCUAACACUGCUGGCCUCCUCGAUCCCUCGGGUCCGAU
rnacentral:lncRNA from 1 species